GACGAACGCUGGCGGCGUGCCUAAUACAUGCAAGUAGAACGCUGAAGAGAGGAGCUUACUCUUCUUGGAUGAGUUGCGAACGGGUGAGUAACGCGUAGGUAACCUGCCUUGUAGCGGGGGAUAACUAUUGGAAACGAUAGCUAAUACCGCAUAACAAUGGAUGACACAUGUCAUUUAUUUGAAAGGGGAAAUUGCUCCACUACAAGAUGGACCUGCGUUGUAUUAGCUAGUAGGUGAGGUAAUGGCUCACCUAGGCGACGAUACAUAGCCGACCUGAGAGGGUGAUCGGCCACACUGGGACUGAGACACGGCCCAGACUCCUACGGGAGGCAGCAGUAGGGAAUCUUCGGCAAUGGGGGCAACCCUGACCGAGCAACGCCGCGUGAGUGAAGAAGGUUUUCGGAUCGUAAAGCUCUGUUGUAAGUCAAGAACGGGUGUGAGAGUGGAAAGUUCACACUGUGACGGUAGCUUACCAGAAAGGGACGGCUAACUACGUG
rnacentral:rRNA from 1 species